CCUACGGGAGGCAGCAGUGGGGAAUAUUGCACAAUGGGCGCAAGCCUGAUGCAGCAACGCCGCGUGAAGGAAGAAGGCCUUCGGGUCGUAAACUUCUGUCCUUGGGGCAGAAGAACUGACGGUACCCAAGGAGGAAGCCCCGGCUAACUACGUGCCAGCAGCCGCGGUAAUACGUAGGGGGCAAGCGUUAUCCGGAAUUAUUGGGCGAAAAGGGUACGUAGGUGGCAACCUAAGCGCAGGGUCUAAGGCACGGGCUCAACCAUUGUUCACCCUGCGAACUGGGAUGCUUGAGUGCAGGAGAGGAAAGCGGAAUUCCUAGUGUAGCGGUGAAAUGCGUAGAUAUUAGGAGGAACACCAGUGGCGAAGGCGGAUUGCUGGACUGUAACUGACACUGAGGUGCGAAAGCGUGGGUAGCAAACAGGAUUAGAUACCCGGGUAGUC
rnacentral:rRNA from 1 species